rfam:Anoxybacillus sp. B7M1, complete genome.
AAGAGAAUAUCAUUUGUACCGUAGACAGUAGGUGCUCGGCAUGAGCUUAAUUUCCUACCGAGGUGUUUUGUUUAUAGAAAGCAAAGUGCAUCUUGUGGUGCUUUACAGUACCUCCAUGUCUACGUGGCAUGGAGGUUUUCUUAUGAACGG